UUUGAUCCUGGCUCAGAUUGAACGCUGGCGGCAUGCCUUACACAUGCAAGUCGAACGGCAGCGCGGGAGCAAUCCUGGCGGCGAGUGGCGAACGGGUGAGUAAUACAUCGGAACGUGCCCAAUCGUGGGGGAUAACGCAGCGAAAGCUGUGCUAAUACCGCAUACGAUCUACGGAUGAAAGCAGGGGAUCGCAAGACCUUGCGCGAAUGGAGCGGCCGAUGGCAGAUUAGGUAGUUGGUGAGGUAAAGGCUCACCAAGCCUUCGAUCUGUAGCUGGUCUGAGAGGACGACCAGCCACACUGGGACUGAGACACGGCCCAGACUCCUACGGGAGGCAGCAGUGGGUAAUUUUGGACAAUGGGCGAAAGCCUGAUCCAGCCAUGCCGCGUGCAGGAUGAAGGCCUUCGGGUUGUAAACUGCUUUUGUACGGAACGAAACGGCCUUUUCUAAUAAAGAGGGCUAAUGACGGUACCGUAAGAAUAAGCACCGGCUAACUACGUGCCAGCAGCCGCGGUAAUACGUAGGGUGCAAGCGUUAAUCGGAAUUACUGGCCGUAAAGCGUGCGCAGGCGGUUAUGUAAGACAGUUGUGAAAUCCCCGGGCUCAACCUGGGAACUGCAUCUGUGACUGCAUAGCUAGAGUACGGUAGAGGGGGAUGGAAUUCCGCGUGUAGCAGUGAAAUGCGUAGAUAUGCGGAGGAACACCGAUGGCGAAGGCAAUCCCCUGGACCUGUACUGACGCUCAUGCACGAAAGCGUGGGGAGCAAACAGGAUUAGAUACCCUGGUAGUCCACGCCCUAAACGAUGUCAACUGGUUGUUGGGCCUUCACUGACUCAGUAACGAAGCUAACGCGUGAAGUUGACCGCCUGGGGAGUACGGCCGCAAGGUUGAAACUCAAAUUGACGGGGACCCGCACAAGCGGUGGAUGAUGUGGUUUAAUUCGAUGCAACGCGAAAAACCUUACCCACCUUUGACAUGUACGGAAUUCGCCAGAGAUGGCUUAGUGCUCGAAAGAGAACCGUAACACAGGUGCUGCAUGGCUGUCGUCAGCUCGUGUCGUGAGAUGUUGGGUUAAGUCCCGCAACGAGCGCAACCCUUGUCAUUAGUUGCUACAUUUAGUUGGGCACUCUAAUGAGACUGCCGGUGACAAACCGGAGGAAGGUGGGGAUGACGUCAAGUCCUCAUGGCCCUUAUAGGUGGGGCUACACACGUCAUACAAUGGCUGGUACAAAGGGUUGCCAACCCGCGAGGGGGAGCUAAUCCCAUAAAACCAGUCGUAGUCCGGAUCGCAGUCUGCAACUCGACUGCGUGAAGUCGGAAUCGCUAGUAAUCGUGGAUCAGAAUGUCACGGUGAAUACGUUCCCGGGUCUUGUACACACCGCCCGUCACACCAUGGGAGCGGGUUCUGCCAGAAGUAGUUAGCUUAACCGCAAGGAGGGCGAUUACCACGGCAGGGUUCGUGACUGGGGUGAAGUCGAAACAAGGUA
rnacentral:rRNA from 1 species